rnacentral:rRNA from 1 species
ACUGCUCAGUAACACGUGGCUAACCUACCCUUAGGACGGAGACAACCCCGGGAAACUGGGGCUAAUACCCGAUAGGUGAGGAGGCCUGGAAUGGUUCCUAGUCGAAAAGGCGUUGAAACCAUGCUUUUCGACGUCGCCUAAGGAUGGGGCCGCGCCCGAUCAGGUUGUUGGUGGGGUAACGGCUCACCAAGCCUAUAACCGGUACGGGCCGUGAGAGCGGGAGCCCGGAGAUGGGCACUGAGACAAGGGCCCAGGCCCUACGGGGCGCAGCAGUCGCGAAAACUCCGCAAUGCACGAAAGUGUGACGGGGCUACCCCGAGUGCCGUCCGCUGAGGAUGGCUUUUCCCCGGUAUAACAAGCCGGGGGAAUAAGGAGAGGGCAAGACUGGUGUCAGCCGCCGCGGUAAUACCAGCUCUCCGAGUGGUAGGGAUGAUUAUUGGGCUUAAAGCGUCCGUAGCCGGCUUGGCAAGUCUCCUGUUAAAUUCAGCGACCUAAUCGUUGAGCCGCGGGAGAUACUACUAGGCUAGGAGGCGGGAGAGGCCGACGGUACUUCCGGGGUAGGGGUGAAAUCCUAUAAUCCCGGGAGGACCACCAGUGGCGAAGGCUGUCGGCUAGAACGCGCUCGACGGUGAGGGACGAAAGCUGGGGGAGCGAACCGGAUUAGAUACCCGGGUAGUCCCAGCUGUAAACGAUGCGGGCUAGGUGUUGGGGUGGCUACGAGCCAUCUCAGUGCCGCAGGGAAGCCAUUAAGCCCGCCGCCUGGGAAGUACGGCCGCAAGGCUGAAACUUAAAGGAAUUGGCGGGGGAGCAC